UACGGAGGGUGCGAGCGUUGUCCGGAAUCACUGGGCGUAAAGGGCGCGUAGGCGGCUGGGGAAGUCGGCGGUGAAAGCCCGGAGCUCAACUCCGGGUCGGCCGUCGAGACUCCGCGGCUCGAGCUCACUAGAGGCAGAUGGAAUUCCGGGUGUAGCGGUGGAAUGCGUAGAGAUCCGGAAGAACACCGGUGGCGAAGGCGGUCUGCUGGGGUGAGGCUGACGCUGAUGCGCGACAGCGUGGGGAGCAAACAGG
rnacentral:rRNA from 1 species